rnacentral:lncRNA from 1 species
UCUAUGACUGAGGUUGCAUCUAAAACAAAAACAAAUUUGUAAAUUAUUAGUGUUGGAGAACGUUGGUGUCACUUCCAUCAAAUGGGUCCAUGACUGAAACAUCCUCUCGGCUGCAUCUGUAAAAAAAAAUCUGUAGUGUUUUGGAGAACGUUGGUGUCACUUUCAUCAAACGGGCCCUUUAACAAGCUCAUGGUAGAGUGAUCUUGUUACUAUUGUAUAGUGCUGCGGAAACUAUGCGCUACCCUCCCUGGUCUAGUACAACGGAGUCUAUUCAAGGUCUAUGACUGUAACAUCCCCCUGCUGCAAUCUGCAAAAAUCAAAAUUUUAGAAUUAAACAUCUGUUGGUGAACUCUGAAAUGAAACAUAAAUAAAUUUACAACAUUACACAUAUAUAAGAAUUAAAUCAAUUAAACUUUAUUUUCUUUUCUUUGAGGUAAAUUUCGAAAAAUUAAAUAUAUGUUUUUUUUAAAUUAACUUUUUUUACUUUAUUUUUAGUGUAGCUCUUGUUGAUCAUUAUACCGGACUGUUUACUUUUAGAGAUAUUCUAUUUCUAGAUGUUCAAGGACAUGCAUACAUUCUUGAUUACACUGUGUGUGCUGCUUCAAUGAAAAAAGGUGAAAAUAAGAUGUCGUGUUAAAUUUUGUGAGGUAGGAUAUUUUUUGUGUUCCAGGGUGUUCUGUCUCAAAUUACACCAGUUUUAAAAUACUUCUGAUUGAUUUGUUCUGUAUGUUUUCUCUCAUUGACAAAAACACACAAAAAGACAAAAAUAAUAAAUAUUGUAUACCUAUAUACAUCUUUGUAAGAACUCUGAAAUGGAUAUAAAUAAGAAAGAUUAGUAAUUUGUCACUUUUAUACAAAGAAAUGGACAUACAGAAAUC